rnacentral:rRNA from 1 species
GACGAACGCUGGCGGCGUGCUUAACACAUGCAAGUCGAGCGGAAAGGCCCUUCGGGGUACUCGAGCGGCGAACGGGUGAGUAACACGUGAGUAACCUGCCCCAGACUUUGGGAUAACCCUCGGAAACGGGGGCUAAUACCGGAUACGACACAGCUUCGCAUGGGGUCUGUGUGGAAAGUUUUUCGGUUUGGGAUGGGCUCGCGGCCUAUCAGCUUGUUGGUGGGGUGAUGGCCUACCAAGGCGACGACGGGUAGCCGGCCUGAGAGGGCGACCGGCCACACUGGGACUGAGACACGGCCCAGACUCCUACGGGAGGCAGCAGUGGGGAAUAUUGCACAAUGGGCGGAAGCCUGAUGCAGCGACGCCGCGUGAGGGAUGACGGCCUUCGGGUUGUAAACCUCUUUCAGCAGGGACGAAGCGUAAGUGACGGUACCUGCAGAAGAAACGCCGGCCAACUACGUG